UGAUGGUACACUGAAAAAAUGGUCUGAGAGGGGUUGCUCAAAUUGCAAAAACUUUUCUCUGUCCAGCAUGUUUAAAUCUUACAAACAUCGCUUGAUUGUGGCCGAUGUGAGACCUGCAUGUUUUAAUCAGGUUGAGGAAACAUGACUUUAUUAUAAUUUCUGGUGAGGCUCCUCCCUCUGGAAUUCUCCUCCUCAAAACUUUUGGAGGGAAAAUUCAAAUGUAACAGGACACAGGACAGUUCCAGGAGCAGAGGACACACAGUGUGGAGCAGGAGGAUUAUGAGAGCUGAUCUGGAGAGUCGUCUACAAACAAAGAGUGAUAUCCAGAGCUCUGCUGGAGCUGUGGGGAAGUUCAUGAAUGUUACAGCUGAUGUUUCAGAAAAAAGGAAGAUGUUUGAGAACCAACAAAACACAGAGCACAUAUGAACAAAGAGGACUUUAUACCAGAUGCCCUACCUGUUACUGCGUUUAGAGGAAGAAAAGUAGCACAUGGCAGAGACCAGAGCGUCUUCACUGGAAUAAAUCUUCACACUGUCCAGCUCCAAACUGUGUGUCUCUGUACUUUGUGCUCUUUGUAUGUUUGAUUCUGUUAAGACAAUACAGAACUGUGGAAAACUAAAGACUAUUUUUGUAUUAUUUUACAGAAUUAGAUCAAUUUAAUUUAAUUAUACAUACUUAUACAUUUCACAAUAAGGUAACAUAAGAUAAAUAUGCAUAUUCAGCAUUAUUUGAUCAAAUUUCAUCAACAUGAAAAAGUGACAUUAUGUUUUGAGAAAAAUAUGUGUAGAGGGA